CCGCCAGGCUCUCGGAGUCCGGGCGGCCGGGCCUACGGCUGCCGCCGCCUCUGGGGCGCGCCCUGCCUUGACUCCCGGGCCUCGGCCUCGCACCUGCCAGAUGAACGCCCGGGGCCGCGGUGGGCAGAGGCGGCUGCGGGGGCGGAGGACGCCGGGGCUGACAGCGGGGACCGUGCUCAGAAAAAGCAAAGUGGACAAUCACUCUGGAUGUUGGGUACCCAACCAUGGAUAGUUAGGUCAUGGAGAAGAAUCAGUCUCUUCAGUAAAUGUACAAACUUUGCAACAUGGAGGGUGAAUUGCAGAAAUGCAACAGGAUGGUGAGGAGGGAGGGAGCAAGGGACCAGUACUCCAUUUGAACUGGUUCUGUGGCACACACACAUAAUCACAGAGAAGACCCUCAACUUUUCAGGACUGCAUUAAUCCUGGCCAUGUAACUAGAGACUAUCAUUGACCCAACUUGUGCUGAGAAUGACAUAUACCAACGGGGAAACUGAAUCACCACACCUUAAAUUGCUGGUAAAACGUGUUUUACCUCGUGAUUCACAUUUGUGCUCUAUUUUGGAAUCACUUCCCAUGAGAUGGCAAUUAAAAUAGACAUUUCGAUUCAUGUGAUUAUAGAUGGUUCUAUUCCUUAUCUAGCUAAUUCUGGUCUAAAUACAGA
rnacentral:lncRNA from 1 species